rnacentral:lncRNA from 1 species
UGAGAUCUUCCAUGUUGAAGGUAAUGUAUUUUUUUUUAAGAUUUUAAAAUUGCUAUUUUGUUACAAAAUAGAGACCUAUUAACAGUUGAGAGCUCCUUAUGUGCCCUCAGGGAAAGAGCCCUCUGUGCAACAAAACUACACGAACAUCUUCAGCACUUUCUGAGGGUGAUUAUAUACUACAUAAAUUGAUCUUGUGUAUUUAACCUUAUCUUUUUAAUUUUAAAGUUGAGAUUUUGAAACGUGGUUGUGCUCUGCUGGAGGGGUUGGGAUGCUUAGGUGUUUGCCUACUUGUUCAGUAAACUACAUUUCAUCAGUGGAUGUGUACACCUGCCAACUUUUUUGGUGUGUCUCAAACAUUUAUAGUGCUUGUCUUUCAGCAGAUGAUCCCACAAAACAAUAACUUCUCAUUCUUGAAUGUCUACUCUUUCUCACUAACAACAUAGGAAUUGUUUCUGUGUUCACAUUAUUCUGUAUUGCAUCUUUUAUGUGGUGACAGCCUAUUAUCUCUUUUUAGUGAUUUAAUUUGAAAUCAGGCUAUUGGAUCUCUGCCACUUAAGAAAGAACAGUUCAUCUGACCUUUCUUCAAAAUGGUACCUGCUGAUGUCACAGUGGAAUAUAGUACAAAUAGACCUAGAAUGUGGCUUUUUAAAUUGGGGCAAUCAUCUCUUAGACCCUUUUUCAAGAUGGCAUGGAAACAUUUGGGAUUAGAGGCAAUAGAAAGAAACUCUGUAAUGUUGGUAUCUAAACUACUUGUGUUGCCUCUGGGUCUAAUCAGGAAAAAAGUAAUAUGAAGUCUGAAAAGGCAGGGAAAUAGUAUAGGUCUCCUUUUUCUUUUUUUUUUUUUUAACUUGCCAGUUUUCUGAGUCCCAAUUCCUAGUCUAUGCCACAUUCAGAUGCUGUGAAUAUCAUAGCAUUAGUUUUGUGUGGGCUCCUUUCAUUUUAUGAAUUCUGAGAGUUCUGUCUGUACUUCUAGUUGGUACCUAUACAAAUCAGAUUCUCUUAACUUUGUCACUAUGACUUAUUUCAGUGCCAUGCAACGAGUCAAUGUAUGUGGGAACAGUUGUACAUUGUAAUUUUCAAGAAAAGGUAGCUCUUAAGGCCAGUGGCACUGAUUCUUUGCUUUCAUAGCUACUUACUCUAGUAAGAGAAUUCAAUGAAACUUCAUUAAAAAAAAAAAAACAAAAACUAAAAAUUUCCCGUUGUAUGUAUCCCAGUCACUUUGACCCAGAUUUCAAGUCGAUGCUAAGUUAACAAAGCACAUCCUGAUUUUAUAUGCAGAAGAUUACAGAAUACAGUAAUUUGUAGGUCUUCUGUGUGGGAUCAUUUAACUAUUUGAAAAAAUUGUUUAAAAAUCAUCUACCCAACUUUUGAAUUUUAGAUGUGAUCAAGCCCAUGUUAUCUUUUUAGCCAGGGAUAGAACUUGUAACCAUCAGAUUCAGUAUGCAAUCUCAGCCAUGAAUCUGAGUAUUUCUUCCCUCACAUCUUUGAGUCAUUUUCUAAGCAGAUUGUCACCAGUGUUGGUGACUAAUCUUUAGGGAGAAAAGUUGCAUUGCAGAUAUAUAUUGAUGUCUGAGAACUGUUCUUGUGUUUUAGUGAAUGAAGAGUACCAAUGGGAUCACUUACUGUAACUCCGUCUACUGAAUGGCCCCUUCUGCAAGCAGAACGCAGAUGAACAUGCUCAAGGAGUAUCCCGUUUUCUAGAGAUUAAGUUUGCUAGUAACUCCUUUACACUAGCUAUUUCUUUGUAUCCCUUUGCUGGCAAGGGAGUACAAGGAGUCAAACCACAGAUCGGAACACCCCACAUUUGAGUGGAGACUUAUUUUUACUCUAAGGGGAAUUAUUCCCCCAAGUCUGAAACUGGCAAUUAUUUUUUUUCUCUUACAUAAAAAUUUAAAAAUAUCCCCCAAACCAGUGGAAAACAGACACUGGCUGCACUUAGUACUGCCAAGAGCCAAGGUCAUUUGCAUAUAUUCCAUCAACCUGUCAAGAAUUAGGCCUCACUUUAUAACCCAAGGCAUGGAAGUGCAUGCAUUCUCUUAGCUGGGCAAACAAUUAUACUGUAGUUGUGAUACAACACACGUGGCUUUUAUUUGUACUGCACAUACCCACUGUACAGCCACUUGGGAGUAUCGUGGUUAGCUUGCAGCAACUGCCGUCUGCAUUUAUACUGUUUAUUGCAAAUUCUUUUCCCUGGAAGUGAAAGAAAUGUUUUUCUUGUUGCAUUGAUUACAUUUUAUAAAUUUGCUUAGCUGGAAAGUUUGGGAAAAGAGGCCUGUUUGUCAAUUGUACAACCGAUUGUGAAGCUUAGUGUGAAUAUUUUUACGUCUGUAUUAGACAUUUUCUUUGCAAAUCUAUUGUUCGAUUGAAAUGUAAAUGAAAUUAAAGAUGGUGUACACCCAUCAUGUAAAAAGCAGGCACCAUCUCUAAGAUGGAUUUAAUGCUCAUUUUUAAGGCAUAUACUCAGCUUCUAUUUAAAACUAUAAAAUAAUUCUGUACAAUGAAAUGGGGAAUAUAUAUGGGAAUAAAUUCUAUUCCAUUUAUUUCAAUUUGAAUUUCCAAAUUGUAAUGUUUCCCUUUGUGCUAUAGGAAUAGGAUUAAAUGGGGGAAGACUAGGACUUAUAAGGCCUGUAUAUGGGGGGAGGGCAGAGAUGGAACAAUGAGGGUUGUGAUGAUAGUGAAUAGCAAAGAGUGAAUUCUGUGUGUUUUUGCUGUAGCACUGAAGUGAAGAGAUAUUAGCUUUGGCUGUUCACAAAAUAGAGCAUCAUGAUUUUCAGUGUUUGAGAGAAAAUUGAUGGAAAAAGUUUGCAGUACUUGACAUGUAUUUGCAUGCACAAAAUAAAAUUAUUUGUCCACCUUAAAAGUUGUUUGCUUAGUGUCAAUGUUAAGUUUAUGGUAUGUAUUAGUUGUCUUGAUUUUCUUGAUAUAUCUUAAUAAAGCUGGAAAGCCACUCCUUAACUAGGGCCUUAAUUAAUCACCUAUUUUAUUGGUAUAUCAUUGGGAAGUAAAUAGACCCAAAGAAAUUGAAAUGUAUGUCUGACAUUUCAUUCAAUAUAGAGCACUUUCUAAAUGGGAGAUGGUGUAAAAUAGAUAAUACUGAACUUACAGUCUUUGGGACAGAUAGGAGAGAUGUAUUCUGUAGGCUUCAGAGAAGUUCUUAAGGAUGACCUAAAAUCUCAGUACCAUUUUUAUUGACUCCAGAGUACCUUUAUCACCCAGCUGAUGUCCUAAGCCCCUGUCUGUGCUGGUCUUUAAGACUAUAGGUCAAUGAAAUGAGCACUUUCCCUGGAUGCUCAUAGUGUAGAAAUGGGAAAGACAACCAAAGGGCCAGUUGUAGUUACGUUGAGCAAGAGGAGGUGUUUCUCUAUGAGACAACCUUUGGCUAGACUUCAAAUCCUGCCUAACCUUUUUACCAGUCUCAGAUUACCUUCCAGACCCACUUGAUAUUUUAAUUGUUUUAUAUUUGAGAUGUUAUAUAAUUUGGGAAAAUCAAAAAGUAAUAGAGUCAGAGUUCUCCUGUCUUUCUGUUUCUCAAAAAGGUAAUAGUGAUGGUAGUAGGAUCAUUUUCACCUAAGUAGAAAGUGUGAUUAAGAGAUAGGGCUUCACUGACUGAUAAUAUAAACAACCAGUUCUCGGAGUUCUAAGUGUUAUACUGUAGAUUGUUGUCACCAUUUCCAGACAAGACAGAUACUUUUGA